UCGGAACAGAGUGCGAGACAAAACUGUCGUACGUGGGUGGGAAGAGAGAUAGAGCAGAUCUUUUCGUCCCACGCAGCUCCUCUCUCUCGUCUCAUUUUUCCCACCCGGACCGGCGGCUAGGGUUCCGCCUGUGCCGCCAUCCCUGCUCCUCCAGUCCCGUCCACUGGAGAAGGUGCCCUCCUGAGACCUGCUUCUCGCCCUUCGCAUCAAGGUGUGGGUGCCAGAGGAGCAGUGAUGGCCGACGGCCUCGUGGCAGCGACGACCAGCAGUGAGCUGCGGCGGCUCGCAGUGGAGGAGCAGCAGCGACGACCGGCAGAGAGCUGCGGCGGCUCGCAGUGGAGGAGCAGCAGCGGUCGACGGCGGCCUGGACAUGGCGGCCGUCACGGGCAGAGCCGGGCGAAGAGGGCGCGGUGGCGGGGCAUGAUCUGGAGAACCGGUGGGCGGUGGUUUAAAAUCUGGGCGGGCGCGACCAGCGCGAGUUGGAGACGAGGUGACGGCGUUGACCAGGACACCGUCGCAGAUCUCCAUCUUGCCGUCGGGAGAGGAGCUCGUCCAGGAUCCCCUCUUCUCCAUAGAUCCGCGACGGAGGUGCUGGACGACAUGAAGAUCGUCAAGGUGCGCCCCCAUGCCCCCUCCCCAUGUCUGGGUAUGCUAGGUAGUGCAAUUCUUGUUUCCUGUCAUGGUUCUCUGUAGUUUUAAACGCCUCUGAAUAGGUCGCACUCCAGAUCCCGUGUUUGCGGCAUGGCACCACUUUGACACAGAGUGAGCUUUCUUCUUCACUAACCAACACAUUACAGGUAACUCUGUUUCCAAUCUAGAGAUGAUACAUACAGAUGUAGCAAAAUCAAAAGUUGUUUCUGUAUUCAGAAUAAAUUAGAGUAACAAGCAUUAGAAUUCAGGUACAACCACUCUUUGCUUGUCUGCUACCCGUGAUAAAAUUAAUGCACAUUACAUCUAAGUUGGUUCCAGUGUCAUAUUCUACCAACAGCCCACUCAAAUUGUUCCACAACUCUCUAUUUUUAGCUAUGAUUGUGUUGUGACUGUACUUAGUUCUCAUCACGUUUCUUUCGAUGGAAAUUCAGGGAGGGUGAUGUGCUUGAAGAUGACCUCAUUGGGAGUCUGAAAGUGUGUCUCCCUUGGCAUAAGCACCAUGGGAAGCAGAGACAACCGCCUCCGUCCUGCUCCAACAUCGCCGUCCGUCGACACAACGAACAAGAAACGCAUCAACAAGAGAAGCACGGCACAUAUAUUUAAUGUUGUUGCAAUUGGUAAGAUAAUGGGAUGCAACACUUAUUUUACCAGUUCUAAAGCAUGACUAAGUAUGGAAAGACCAGAGGCAAGUGUUAUUUUCUCUUGUAAACUUCUUUUGCUUGUCUAUCUCCCUACUGGUAUGCAGGUCUUUAAUUGAUAGUUUAUUAUAUAUAGUUUGCUUUAUAUAGAGUCAUUAUAUAAAGUGAUCUCAAGGCAUUGGGCAUCCUAAUGGUAAGUGCAUUACACAUCAUGCCAGAUCAUGAAUUUUGCAAGAAUAGGCAUUUCUUGGCUCCUCACAUCCUUCAUCCAAGAUUAAUCUCAGUAUGGUCUGGCUAUACUUUACAUAAACUGUAUACUCAACUGUUAAACAAGUACACAGAAUGACAGAAGUACUUAGAAUGCAUCAUUUUGCUCAUGAACUGGACUGAACUUGCUUUACAGAAGUACUGCAUGCACUUCUAUUUUUUAUCCGACGAUAUGGCACAUAAGUUAAUGCCAAAUCCAGUGUAAAGUAAUUCUUUUGUAAGUCGGCAUCCUUAUUUUUGCAUAUGUAUAUUUUGAUUCGAGGCGCAAAGGUCAAGCUUACGGUGCAUGUUCUUUUAGGGUCCUAGGAAGAAGAGUACCUUUUCCUUGGAAUCGGGAGCGUAGGGCAAUGGCCAUGGGGUACCAUGUUGAAAAGUAGGGAGAUGUGGUAGUUUGUUUUGCUCAUCUGAAGUUCGGCAUGUUUUAUUGACAUCUUGUAAGGCUACAGGUAAAACAAUGUGGAGUCUCUUUUAUUGGCAUGUUUCUGUCUUGGUAAGCAUGCAUCAAACAGGCUUAGGUUGGUUAGAACAAGGUGUAGCGGUCAAGAGAUGAUGCUGUAAGAUUAUUAGACUGCUGUUAUUUCUGGUCUGCAUGCAUUUCUGGCCGGACCAGCUGGUUAACUGAUGCGGCACUGUGUCAGUGAAACUGGGGCAAUAUUUUCAUUGCUGUAUACUAUUGUUACACAUACGAUUUCAUAGUUUGGCAAGUAUCACCAAAUUUGUGGUUAAGUCAUUUCUGAAUAAUGUUUAGUUUCCCGCUUGGCAUGCUUCUUUACAUCAAUCGAUCAGAUUCACCGCCGUUGGCCAGAGUUGCGCCUAAUUCAUACUGAUGUUAAGGAUGAAUUCUCUGUUUUCUAAUAGGUCAGACUGGAUUCUAUGUUCUGUCCAUGCCCUGUUCACUGGCAUUGCCUCUUGAUUCCCCUCUUAAGUAGAAGAUCCACACUAAGCAUAGCAAGUCCACUAGAGGAGCAAAUGUUGUUUAUCACCGCAUCUCUUCUCAUGUUGACAAGCAAGCCAGAUAUAUAUGAAGGCACCAUACAAGGCGGCGACGGCUUACCCGCUCAAUACCUGCAGCCCCUGGUACGGACAGGAAAAUAUGCUGAGCUUCUCGGCCUCGACGAUGUCCUCGUGCCUCUCUCUAAAAUGGCAGAUCUGUUUGUUUCUCUGGUGGGACUGCAGUUCUUCCGAAGCUUUGCUUUUCGCGAUGAGGAGAUUCGAGUGCAUCUUAAUUAUUGACACCUCAUUCUAUGACAAGCUCGGCAAGAAAGGCGGCAGCUGACGGGACGAUGUACCGAGGCCUGCGGCGGACUCAGCAGGAUGGAAAGCAGCGAGCAACGAUGCAUACUUCACGGAAGCCUACUGUUUCUCCUCGCCAAGACCUAAGAUAGCAUGAGGUCCGCGCAGAUAGAGGCACUCAUGCAGGAAAGAGACGAGGGAGCAGCUGGUGGUCCGGACGACGAAGAUCAGCUGAACGUUGGCUCCCAUGAAGUUGAUUGAUUGUGCCUCCGCUUUUGUGCCGCUUGCGUUGCUUUUGAACCACUGUCAUUUGUGUCAUUGGUGAUGUAAACUAUAUAAGGACAUAUCAAUAAUAUCUAUGACUCCUAAGGCUAUUCUCUUA